AUCAGGUUAUUUGACAUCUCCUUUGGUACAGGUGGAAGAACAAGCACAGGGACCCUUCUCCGUAAGUAAGAUGAUAAUGGACCCUCAUUAACUAGGCCAUGGUCUUCAAAUAUUACAGCAACAACAUCGUACCCUCGAAGUAUUAAACUUUCAUAAGCUGAGAUAGUUCCUGAAAUACCCCCUAGCUUUCCAUCACCAACAAGAAUAGCUGGGAAGCGGAAAGGUCUAUACAAGUCACAUUGAAGUGAACCAGAUGGUCCUGGACUGGCAACACCACCAGCAGUCUCGAUCACACACAAAACUUCACCUUUUUCACUUUCUGAUUCACUCCCUAAGCAACCCUUCAACAUCCCCAACAACUCAUCAUCCUCCACUCUAGCAUUUUCCCUCUCAGCCACUAAAUGUGGCGAUACCGCCUCUUUCCACCCAUACAUUGUCUUACAUACUAACUUCGAGAAGCCCUUCAUUUCCCAAUUUUCAGACCCUUGCAAUUUACUCUCCUCAUACAACCCCAAAUUCACUACCCCAUUCCCACAG
rnacentral:misc_RNA from 1 species